UGGGGAAUUUUGGACAAUGGGCGAAAGCCUGAUCCAGCAAUGCCGCGUGUGUGAAGAAGGCCUUCGGGUUGUAAAGCACUUUUGUCCGGAAAGAAAUCCUUGGCUCUAAUACAGUCGGGGGAUGACGGUACCGGAAGAAUAAGCACCGGCUAACUACGUGCCAGCAGCCGCGGUAAUACGUAGGGUGCAAGCGUUAAUCGGAAUUACUGGGCGUAAAGCGUGCGCAGGCGGUUUGCUAAGACCGAUGUGAAAUCCCCGGGCUCAACCUGGGAACUGCAUUGGUGACUGGGCAGGCUAGAGUAUGGCAGAGGGGGGUUAGAAUUCCACGUGUAGCAGUGAAAUGCGUAGAGAUGUGGAGGAAUACCGAUGGCGAAGGCAGCCCCCUGGGCCAAUACUGACGCUCAUGCACGAAAGCGUGGGGAGCAAACAGGAUUAGAUACCCUGGUAGUCCACGCCCUAAACGAUGUCAACUAGUUGUUGGGGAUUCAUUUCCUAGUAACGUAGCUAACGCGUGAAGUUGACCGCCUGGGGAGUACGGUCGCAAGAUUAAAACUCAAAGGAAUUGACGGGGUCAUAGCUGUUUCCU
rnacentral:rRNA from 1 species